rnacentral:rRNA from 2 species
UUUAUCUGGUAAAGCGAAUGACUAGAGGCCUUGGGGCCGAAACGAUCUCAACCUAUUCUCAAACUUUAAAUGGGUAAGAAGCCCUGCUCGCUGGCUUGGAGCAGGGCGUGGAAUGCGAGACGCCCAGUGGGCCACUUUUGGUAAGCAGAACUGGCGCUGCGGGAUGAACCGAACGCCGGGUUAAGGCGCCCGAUGCCGACGCUCAUCAGACACCAGAAAAGGUGUUGGUUGAUAUAGACAGCAGGACGGUGGCCAUG